AUGCAGUCAGGUUUGUUCUAAAUUAAUUUCACUUUCACCCAACCUUAAAUUAUUUUUCAUUUAUCUUCAAAUACUUGAAUAUUUACUGUUUUCAUCUAUUACCAUGAAUUUUAUCAUCCAUGAUAAAUGUAGUUGAAGGAAACCAAUAUAUAUGAAUUCAAGAUAUUUAGAUAUGCAAUUCUCAGUAUUUAAAGGAAUGUUGGUAUGUUGCCACUGUUUGUAAA
rnacentral:misc_RNA from 1 species